GGCACCACCAAGCAUGGGCAUUUGAGCUAACCCGUAUGUGGGAGACGAGCCUGCAUUAGUAGGACGGCUGCAGGGUAGCUUGGCUCCCUGAGUUUCCAACCAAGCUGCUGCACAUUUCAGUUCUGAGUGGAUUUCGUGGUGCUGGACACUGAAGCUAGAGCAUACUAAGUAAGCAUCCAAUCACUGAGCUGUGCCUUCCGCCGGAGCCAGGCUGUAACCUGUUUAUGAAUUUGCCAGUGCUCACUAGAAUGUGGAAAUAGUCUACACUGUUUAAAUUCCCCUUGCUUGCUAUGAAGUUGGUGUGGAAACAAGAUCAUUGAAGAAGGAGAAAUUGCUGGUACGUGUGUGCAGAUGUACUUGUUUAUGAAUGUAGCAUACAAUGUAUACUUGCAUAUGAGUGUAUUAAUAUUAAUCUUAGUUCCCUUUAUCCAAGUAUGCAAGGAUAAUGACAUUUUAAGUUCAUCUGAAUGACUCUUCUAAAGUAAUGGGAAAUUCAGACUCAGCCACUGGUGUCUACUUUCUGUUCUCCUACUUGUAUAACAACCCCGGAGUCUUAUUAAGUCCUGCAGCUUUUAAGGGAGGUCACUCUAGUCACCCAAUGUGGGUCCAUAUUGUUUUCCAUUAAAGCACUAGCCAGUGGUUAGCACCCAAGUGCUUCAUAUACUGGGCAGCUCAGCUGUAAAUUCCCCAUUCUUUAGAGAAGAGAGCCUUGAGGGAAGUUGGGAGGAGCCUGCUUCUCUGUAACCAAAAGCCUGUGAACUCUUACAGAAUUCUCAGUGCAUUGGAACUUAUUGUCUUUAUAGUAACAUGCUGUAGCAGACCAAUCCAAAAUGGUAACCUGAAGUCGUAAGUGGCUAUUUGGGUGCUUGAACUGUGGCUAGUACCAAAAGGAAUUUAGCUUUAUUUUCCUUUUGGGACAGGCUUUUACUAUGUAGACCAGGCCUAUUUCACAGGAACUCACCUGCCUCUGCCUCCCAAGUGCUGGGAUUAAAGGCAUGUGCCACGGUGCCUGUCUAGGAAUUGAUGUUUUAAUUGCUCUGAAUUUGAGGUUUAAGAGCAACUAUUGCAAUGAGCAGUACAUCUCAGGGUGGGGACUGCCACAUACCUGUUCGUAGAUGUCCUUCUUUUUUGGUUCUCUGGUCAACUAGAAGGCAUCUCUUUUCCUUUAUUAAAAUACAUUCUAUCUCUUAAGAUAGGAAUUAUCGCUAUGAUGAUAUUAAUUUCCAAAAGACUAAGAUUCUCAAAUCUAUUGUUUGCUGCAUUCUCCCAAACUACUUAAAUGUCAAGGGGGAAGGCUACCAACAUUAAACUGAGAAAAAGAAAAAGGAAAAAGAAAAGAAACAAGCACCAGUUAAUAGUUUAAAACAUCGGCACAUUACAGUGAUAUAGGCUUAGUGUGUGCCAACCCUUCAUAUAAGCUUUCCUCUAGAGCAAGAGUAGUACUCUGCAGUUUGCCAAAACAUUGACUAGCUCACAUGGCUGACUAUGCUGCUUCCUUGCUCUGGAAGCAGUCAGGCAAAGCUUGAGAAAGUGAUCCAGUGGGACCUGAGGGUGGGUCACAGUUUGUUUUGUUGAAUGCUCUACAAGGCAAUGCAAUGUGGUUUACAGACAUUGCUUAUGUCUUGGCCAAGAGCAGAGCUUCUGAUAGUUUCUUUCUUGGUCAUGUUUUUAAGCAUGCAUAGAAGAAUAUCCAAAUGAGUCAUUUGCAUAUGGUCACUUUGGUAUAUUAUCAGAGUAUAUUAAUUAGAAUUGCUUUAUAGUUAGCUUUUUAUCUACUAAUAGAAGAACUCAACCUUCAAGGCACAUUAGCAUUCUAAAUUGCAGAGUGGGUAAUGGGCAGACAUUAAUAGAGGAAAAUUAAUCCCUUGAUAAAACUGAUCUCAAUACUUCAGCAGCUACCUUAUCAGAUGUACAAGCGUCUACAUUGCCUGGUCUUUUCUUUGAAGAACAAUUGAAUUAACAGCUGUUGUGGUUGAUUUCCAGGCCACCUUCUACUCUAAUUCAGAAUGAAAUAGAUGAAUUAUUGGAACCAUCCUGUAUAUAUCUGACUCCUUCAGAUUUAGCCUUUCUUUUGUCUUCUACUUGAGGAUGGUCCCAUAACUUUUUUUCUUUCUGGGUGCUGAGAAGUCUCUAAGUCUCAGCCUGCUUUUCUUCUCUCGAUUACAAUUGCUUCCCCAGGCUUGUUAUAAGUAAAUGCAUCUCGGUUAGUUUGUAAUGUCUUUAGGCUACCCUCUGCCCAUCCUCUAGUAGUCUUAAAUCUAAUGCCUUGGCCUCCCCAGUAGAACACACCACUCCUAUGUUCCUCUCUAGACUUAGAGAGAACAGUUACCAUUUCCUGACCGAUGGCUUGGAUCCUUCCAUCCAAAACCCUGCGUGGUUUGCCUUCUGAAUCCCCUGCAGGUUAUUAACAGUGCAGCCCACUGUUAUUUUCCAGUUACUCCUGGUAACUUAAUUUUAGAUUACUCCAAGUUUCUGAGAUGUUGCUUUUAGACGAUGAUAUUUUGUUUUAAUUUUAUGUACUUUUUAAGGGUAUACUAACUCUAUACAAUAGCUUGGUGUUUUUGAACAUUUUAUGGCCACAAAGAUCCAUUCUGAUUAUAGGCCUCCCCUCUACAUUACUCUCUCAUUCCAGCUCUCUCCUCUCUGUUUUUUGUCCAUUUCUCAAAUAGUCCCUUUCUAUUCUCUUGUCUUUCCUUUUCAAAUCUAGAUUACACGUUUGAAAGGAAACAUGAGAUAUCAGUUUCUCCGAGUCUUGCUUAUUCUGUCCAACAUAGAUGAUCUCCAUGUCUUUCAUCUUCUUGAAAAUGACGUAUUUUUGUUCUUAUUUAUGGAUGAAUAACACUCCCAGAACAUUUUCCUUAUCUACUCAUCUGUUGGGAGGUAGACUGAUUCCACCUCUUGACUAAUGUGAAUAUGUAAAAAACACAGCUGAGUAGCAAUCUCUGUGGUAGGCUGACCUAGAUCCCUCAGGGAAUGUACCCAGGAGUGCCGUAUCUGGAUCAUGAUCUCGGUGGCUAGUGCUGUCAACUUGACAAAUCUGGAGUCUCUUGGGAGGGAGACUUACUUUGAAUGUGCCUGGAGGGUGUUACCUUGCUUAUCUUAAUUGCUGUGAGGAGAUAUGCCCACUGUGUGUGUCACCAGUUCCUGUCCUGGGCAGAGAAUCCCGAAUGUAAGAGUGAAGAAACUGAAGUGAGCACUUGUAUGUAUGCAUUCAUUCACUUCUCGCUGCUCUCAACCAUGGCUGUGAUGCACCCCGCUGCUUCAGUCCCUGCUGUGUUGACUUCCCCACAAUGAUGGAUUGCACCCUGGAACUGUGAGCCAAGUAAACCAUUUCUAUCUUUAGUUGCUUUUGUCGGGGGUUUUUAAUCAUGGCAAUCAGAAACAGAACUAAAACAGGAAGAGACACUUAGAGUCUUGGCUUAAUAAUUCCUCCAUGGCUGUCAUUUGCAUAGGCCACCUCCGCGACAAGUCACAGGUUGAGACCCUCUAGAGUGGGUAUUUGUGGGAUCACUGCAGGUGGCAUGCACUACGAGACAGGGUUUGAGUGUUGAAAUGCCAGACUUUCGGGAGGAUUGAACAUAGCACACCUGAAGUCAGAAAACAUGAUCCAUGACUGUCACAGUUCUCGGGGUGCUGUCACUCAAGAGCCUAUGCCAACAUGAGCAGUCUCCACAGAACAUAGCCAUAAAUCCACACCAUGAAUGUCCGUGAAGGCCUCUUUCCUGAGCUGUGGAAGACUGAAGUUGGGUCACCUGUUCUGACUUGGAGUGCUCAUGUCCAGUGCAAACUCCUCAUGACAUUCAGGCCUCUCACAGUGUGGCACCUGAUCUUAUGGGAUCCAGGUGUCUGUAUGGUUGACAGGUUUUCUAAGAUUUUUAUUUUUAGCUGGUUAAUAACUAACUAGUUGACUGAUAAAAAACUAUUAUGUAACUAGUCACGCUGAUUAUAAACCACAUUUCGACUGCAGAAACAUGGAAACACUGUGGAAAUGCAGCAUCACAUUUUUCUAGAAAGCGUACUCAGAAUUUAGCCAGGCCCUGGCUGCCCCAGGGGAAAUGCCAGGAUCUCUUUCUGUUCUGGGAUGAGCCAAUUAAGCUAUCUGAUAGAAGAGUCUUUCCAAGGCCCUUCAAAUGACAUUGUGUUGGUUUUUAUCUCCCAGUCUCAGAUGUAAGUAAGCCUUUUCCCCCAAGUUCCUUAGAGACUAACAUGAUCUCUUCACAUUGAGAGCUAAAUAUGGAGUCGCAGAAUGGAGUAACGUACCCUGCCAAAGCGGCCUUCUAAGAAGUUCAGCAGCAAGGACAACCCACAGCAGUGCUUAGCCUCUGCUCUCCUUCGAUGGACUCAUGGGUCACGGGCUUCCUCCCCACCCUCCCGCUCUGAGCCUUCCCACAGAUGCAGCCCUGAACCAGACAAUUGCUUUCCUUUGAAGCACAUAAAGUCCCGAUGAACACAGCCAUGUGAAGUCUCCAGUGUAGAUAAAUUUGUCACUAGCAGCUCUUACGUCUCCCAUCCAGUUCCUUGGGGGAAAACAGCAAGGUAAACAGGCCUUUUGUUAUUUUUCUAGAAAAUAGUUCUUUGGAAAAAAUAUCACACAUCCCUAUCCCGCUCAUCUCCCUGUCCCUUCAUAUCAGCCCUCUACCCUCGUACUCCCAACCCCCGAAAAGAAAAUAAAAAGCAAAAAAUGGAAAGAUAAACAAAACACUAAAAACAUCUCGUUGUGGAAGCUGUAGUAUGUGCGCCCCUCAGUACAUCCUUUUGUCCACACUUCUUUACCUGCAAAUGUUCAUUGCAACGACUCCUUGGUCUGCUUCAAGCCCUCUGGCUUCUGCUAUAGCAUCUCUUGGAUAUCUCGUUGUUGCACUGCGUCAUGGAGAUCCUGCAGCAGGAUCCCUUUCACACACUCUAGCAAUUCAUGGGUGAGGUAGAUGUUGGGGUGGGCCAACUCAAAACCCUGAAUCUUGGCCUGAGGGGUAGCUGAAUUGAUCCGCCCAGCAGCCCUCCCACACCCACGAAGGCAAAGUGAGAUCUCCAGCACUACCCUGGCUCGCUCACCCAGUGCUGUGGCUGACAAGGGGGCGGGCAGGCUCUCCCUUGGUCCCAUCCUCGCUCCCCUGAGCUUCUGCUACCAGGGCUGCGUCUACUGGGCUGCCCAGGUGAGGUGGCAGCCCUGACACUUGAUACUCCAGUUGUGGCCCGCUCUCCAGAAUGCCACAGCAGGUGAGGGGCAGGGCCAGCUUGUCACAGCUCUUGGACAUCACCAUGGUCCCAGGGGGCAACCCAGACCAGGGAUGUCCACAUGGUCUUCAGCGGCAAUAUCCCCACGGACAUCGACCCAGACCCCUGCUGCUGCAUGACCACGGACUCAGACGUGGUCCUCAGCAGUAGCGUGUGGCAGUACAGGCUACUCAAAACAGGCUGUGCUUCUCCACUCUCGAAUCUCCAUCUCUGUCUUCAUAAUGCUCAAACUGUUCCACUUCUCCUUCUCUGCCCUGUGCCCACCACAUAUUUAGACACUGUAGUGGCUCCAGCUAUGGGUGGGCCAAGUUACUGCUGGGACUCUGAGUGUCUUCCUCGACCUGAACCUUGUCGUUUUGUCAUUGUGAAUGUCUUUGAAGGCAAAACCGCCCAUGGUUCCAGUCACUGGCUUCCUGAAGAUGCCCUCCUCAAACCCCCCACAAAGAUUCUGGGGGCAGAGAUCUCAGGGACAUAGAAAAUAGGGUUCCCUCUCUCCAAAGUUCUAGUCUAGGAGACAAAAGUUUAUCACAAACGAGCCCAUGACACCCCACAGGAAAACUCAGAAGACAUUGGUUCACAUUCUGUCUUACUAUUAAUAGCUGUGACUCCAGUUGGGUUGAGUCUACCAUGAGAAAAGAGAACUCAUUCACGGAAGUGGAGGAUCAUGGGUAGCACUUCAGGGUUAGCGUCUGGAUCCAGGUAAAGACAGCAAUGGGAGAAACUUCGUCCAGUAUGGCAGGCAGCCGCAGAGGACUGUUGGCUGGACUGUUAUCUUAGAGAUAAUGUCUUAAACCUUCUUUACCUCUUAGUUAGUAUAUCAUGCUCCACCUCACCACUGAGACAAGUUGCUUUCUCUGGCUUCUCAAAUGGAAUCGUGAGUGCUGCUUCUUCCCACGAGGCUGAAAAUAAAAUAAUGUAAACCCACUUGGUGUCAGUUCCCCCUCUGGAAUAGAGCGAAUGAAUGUAGGCUUGUAGAGAGAAGGGAUGGAGGUCCACUCAUCGCAGGAAUGAGAACAUCAAAUGUUUGAAAUUUGCACUGCUUCUCCAGGAGAUUAAUUCAUACCACCACACAGAAACUUCUGGGGAUGGAACACAUCAGAAGAAACACCCUCACUUACAAUUUAGAAUAUGUCUGAAGGAUAAUACGUCAACGGGCAUGCAUGCUAGUGGCUACCAAAGGACAUAACAUCUUAUGUAACUCCCUCUUUAAGCAAAGCAUUCUGAAUUCAAAUUCAGUGUCAAAAGAGCGAAACAUCUCUUAAUUUGCAACAUGGUGGCCCACUGCCCAUCGCGGUACAGAUCCUAACCCUGAGUAGUGAAAGGGCUCGGGCCCAGAUAAGUUUCAGUUAAUUGGGCCACGAUGGCAAAUGAUCUCAAACCUUCCAAGAAAAACAAAUGAAGAAGUAGCAGAGAUGAAAGGCCACCCCAAAGGUGAUAUAAUUGUCUAUAAAGCCAUUGUUAUGUAGGUGAUUUUUAAUGUCAGCCAUUAAAAUGUAACCAACUCUCCUGUGACAAGUGCUUUAUGUGUCGGGGUGCAAUAGACUUUGUAUAACCCACUUGUUAAAUUUCUGUUUUUCUAGAUAAAGAGCAGAAGAAAUGUUUUUCCUUCAUUUGUCCUCACCUGUCUCAUAGAAUAAGGUACUUUUGGUCAGGGAAGCAGUUGUCACAGUCAAAAAGUCGGCCAAGGUACAUUCACCGAGUAACAAUGUCCUGGACCAAUAGAGACUGAUGUGGAAGCUUCCCAGAGGGAGAAUGGGCUUCAGCCAGCAGCCUCAGUCGGCUUUAUAGGAAAUGAGUCAGGGGAAUAAAUAUACCAAUAGCACUUUCUCUUUUCCUCUGGCCAAAUCCAUCCAGAAGGAAGGGGCUGGGUAGCUCACUGCCGUCUCAUCCUCCCAGACAGAGAGCAAUGCAGACAGACAGCCUAGAGAACAAAAAGCAGACAUCUGACAUGAGAAGAGUGAUGGCGCUCUACUUCCUGUUCUGCCAAAAUGUGAGGCCAGGCGUACCAUCUGCACACAUCUGCCACCUCGGAGCAGCUUGCUGCCGUACCUACCCCUGCAUAAGGGACUGUGUCCCCUCAAACAGGGCUCACAAUUAAGAAAUGGCCUUGAGUAUCAGAAGACACACUGCGAUUUUUAAGUGAUGGGACAAUUUUUAACAAAGGACACAGUGGAAUUUUUAAACUCUGGUAAAGAACAUAGACUUUUGAAGUUGAAUUGCACGUAUUGGCAUCCUAAGAUAGCUUUGAGUCUGUGGGCAUGGGAGGUGAAUGUUAUGGUUUGAAUGUGAGAUGUCCUGUUAAGGUUCAUGCGCUUAAACACUCUGGUCCUGAGUGUCUCGGGUGGGUCUGUUUUGGAAAGUUGUGGAACCUUUAAAAGGUGAAGCCUCACCAGAGGAAGUGAAUCACUGGGCACAGGCCUUGAGAUUUUAUAAUCACCCCCCACUUCCUGUCCAUUUUAGGCUUCCUAUUUUGUAAUGGUGUGAGGCGAAGUGUCCUAGCUGCACACUUCUGUUACCAUGGAGAUGCCUGCAGCCAUGCCUUUCCCAACAAUAAGCUAUGGCUCCUGUAAGUCAAAAUUAAACUCUUCUACUUCUUGAAAACGAACAACAACCCCCCCCCCAAUUGUCCUGAGGUAGGAGAAAAAGAGGUAGCCUGGGCACAUCUGUAACCCUAGCGCUUGAGAGGCUGCAAGACAGUGUCUCAGGGCUGCAUAGUGAGUUCUAGGCCAGUCAGGGACUCACGGGGAAACUCUCUUUAAAAAAGCUAGAAGUGGGUUAAUGUGUUACCGGCUUGGGCACACAUAAUGACAUAACACAACCUGUGUGGCUUUAGAAAUAGAAAUUUUAUUUUUUCAGAGUUCUGGACGUUAGAAGAGCAGGACCCAGGUGUCAGUAGCCUUGGUUUGCCUUCCUGACUGUGUCUGCGGGUGGGUACCCCUCUAUGAGCAUGCACCCCUGAGAUCCAGUCAUACUGAAUUGGGGCCUCACUCUUUUUUUAUUACCUCAUCGAAUUAAAAUUACCUUUUCCAAGGUCCUCGCUCCGGAGACAGUCGCAUUGGAAUUUGGAGAGAGGCUGUAUAUAUAAUUCAGUCCAUAGGAACAGUUGGCUGGAGGGUUUAUACCGCUAAUGAGCUCUUUAAAUACCCGCAGUGUGUAGGCAAUUGGAGUAGCCCACAGAACUCCCCAAAGCUCCCCUUAUUUUACUUGAUUGCUACAACAAUAUUCCACCCAACCUCCUCUUCCUGGCACUGCAUGUCUAUUCCUGUCUAUCUGUCUCCAGAGACCCCGAGACCCAGGCUCUGACCUUGGUCAUUGAUUUGCCGACACCCUAUCCUGAGAACUUGACUCUAACCUGGCCCUUUGCUCAGUGCGGUGAGUAACGGAGUUCUUUCCGGCAUCAUGAAGUCACAGUCUCUGUUUCGAAUCUGGGGAGUUUGAUUUCUACCAUUUGUCCUGAGUAGAGCUAGUAGGGAUUUAUUUGUGGGAGUUUUGAUCUAGUGACGUAGUCGUGGGAAAACAGUUUUAAAUGCCAUUCUUAGUUGAGACUCGAGCUUACCUUUCUAAAAUAGAAGUUAGCAGUCAUCCAUAGUAAAUGCGUCUAACCCGGGGAAGUUCUAGGGAGGCAGGGAAAGGACACAGCAUCCUGUGUUAAGAAUCAGCAAGCAAUUGUUAUGCGACUUAACAGGGUCAAUGAGAAAGAAAUCAAGAACAACGCCACCGUUCAGAAAGAAAAGAAAAAAAGAUGUAGAAGGUUCACCGGCUGUUCAGGUAUCAGAGAAGGGAUAAUAGCAGAGACCUUCGGCUUCUCAUUAAGUCAUCCUCCUCAUUCCCAAUAAGAGGGGUGGGCUGAAGCCAGGCUGCUUGGGAGACAGGAGCUGCUUAGCGUAGCCUCUAAUAAAACGCCUUGACCAUGCUGCCUCAGAGGCUGUACACAGCUACUGUGCUAAGCUACUCAUCCUGACUUUUACUGCGUACCUUCCUUCCAUUUCAAUUGCUUGGGGUUUUUAUAGGAAAAAAAAAUUGCCUGUGGGAAUUUGACCCCUCCAACUGCCUGGUAAUAAUCUGACUUGAAUAGCAAACACAGCAUGGGUUGGUUCUGGGGCAAGCCAGAGAGCAUUCUCAGGAGGCUAUGGGAGGGGCUGCUCUGGGAUGCACAGACAGCGAGAAAUUUAUCUCCGAAAAAAUGACGCUAUUUGUGAGAAUUUGUGCUAUUUAUGUCGUAGUGGGAAAACUUAGAAAUGUCACUCAUACCAAGGUUUGAAGCCAAUUUGUUUAAAAUAGCAGUCGGCUUUGAUAUAAAGGCUUUUACCAUCAACCAGUGGGCGUAUGGAGGUGCUGUUGAACAUCUGUAUCGAAAUAUAAAUAAGUAUCUUUUGAAGGAGGGUCUUCUAAUGAAUAAAUCUAACGUGAUUCACUAGCUCGAGCCACUGGAGUGCUAGGAUGGCAGAUGGAGAAGUCAUGCUGUGUAUAUGCAUAAAGUCAGAGGCCCAGCAGAUCCGUUCUCUGUUCAGGGUACCGUGCACUAUUUACCUGCAUUAUUUCAUGUAAUGUUGACAGUCAUUUGGGAGGGAAGCAUCUACAGAAUUUGCAAAUGAGAAAACUAGUUCUAAGGGACUGAGUGGCUCUGGAAAUUCACAUGACUUGUAAAUGGUGAUCUUAUUCCACAGCCUGAGGCUUCAUUCCAACUGCAGGACUUGAUUUCGUUUUUAAAGUAUUUCAGAGGGGUUGGGGAUUUAGCUCAGUGGUAGAGCGCUUGCCUAGCAAGCGCAAGGCCCUGGGUCCGGUCCCCAGCUCCAAAAAAAAGAAAAAAGAAAAAAUCAAAGUAUUUCAGAGAGAGAGAGAGAGAGAGAGAGAGAGAGAGAGAGAGAGUGUUAGGUCCAGGAGUUGGUUCAUUCUUUUUCCAUCUUGUGGGUCCUAGGGACUGAACUCGGGUUAUCAGCCUUGGCUGCUGGUUCCUUUAACAGCUGACCAUUUGUCCAGCGCCUGCAGAUGACAGUACUUUGAGGUUAAGCUAUGUUUGAAGGAGAUCAGAAUAAGUCUGCUAUGCUUUUGCUCAAGCUAUAACUAGAAUCUUGACUGUCCCCAUAAAGGACUUAGUGUUAAAGUCGUAGUCCCUAGUCUAUGACAGUGUUGGAAGGUGGAGGACUCUUUACAUGGUGGGACUUCCUACAAGUUAGGAAACGGAGGACAUGCCCUUGAAAGAGACCGUGGAGAUCCGGCCGCUUCUCUCUCUUUUUGCUUCUUAGGACUCCAGGGGGCUCAUGUUGCCCCAUAAUGUCCCACAUACAACGAUGCAAUUGCCUCACAGGGACACAGCAACAGUGGCAGUUGAUGGCAUGAACCAAAAUAAACCUCUGAUACUAUGAGCUAAAAUAAACCUUUUCUAUUUAUAAAUCGAGUAUUUCAGGUAUUUUGUUAUAGUUCUGCAAUGCUGACUAACAUGGUUUGCUGAUGUUCCAUUGCCAAUGCAAAUAAUCGCCUUUCUUAAUCUCAGUGAAACCCACAAACAUACGGGCAUUGCUUUUGCUUCUCCCACUGUAUUGCGUUUUACAUUAUAGUUGCAGGCUUACUCCAUUUCUAGCAAGAGAAUCCUUUCCUGAUAGGUGACCUGGGAGUAUCUAAGCUGAGGCCUAGGUUACAUACCCUUGUUUUCAGGCAUGUCUGGUGGCCAGCGAGGCAACAAGAUUCACCCAGAAAGCAUGAAGAAUUCUUUGCUCAAAUUUAGGUGGAGUAGAAUUCUUGGGCACUGUUCUUUUUUUCACAACACCCUAGAGCACAUGCCAUCCACUGCAGAGAUGAGGUAUUGAAACUACGGCAGGGGCCUUUGUGUGGCUCUCAGUGAUGGAGAGUUGUAGUGUCAUUCCUCAUUGCUAUACUUAACUGACGGCACGUCUGGGACAAGAGGUCAGCACGGCUCUGAACAGGCAGGCAGGGAAGGACAGGCGGUCCACCUCAAAUCUUCUGCGAGGCAUCAGUUGGUCUCUAAGGUGACAAGGAGGGAGGACCUAGAAGGGACCACAUGGAGGUGACAAGAAAAGAUGGUGCUCUUUGUUCACCGAGUGUCAUCUGUGUUCCCAUAUGCAGUUACACAGCCAGGAGUUCCUCAGGAGCUUAGGAGGACCCUGGGAGGCAUCUCAAGACUUCCAACACAUGACUGGGAUUGGGAUUUUAAGCCAGAUAAAUACUGUGAUUUUUCUACCAGUGCGCUUUUGAUGGGGAAACACAGACAAAUCUAAAUUUUGAAGGAAGAACCUCAUUUUUAGCUUUUGAAGAUUUGGAGGAGAAAUAUGCAAAGCCCAGUAAGGUUCUCUCCAACCUGAGCCUGGGGUGGGGCUUUCAAAGCCUUGGCUCUUCCAGAUCUCCUCAGAGGCAAUGUUCUUCCUCCCCAUGCCUGGAACAUUCAGUCAGAACUAACUACUUAGCCUAGGAAAGGAACAGAAAGAUCCUUUUAGCCGAGUUAUGAGUAAGCAGAUCUUUAGAAAUGUGCCCACUUCACUGUGAAGAAUGUGGCUAGAGAGGACCACAGUGACAUAGAAGAUCACAGGCAGACAGAAGUCCACGGAGGAGCUGUUAAUCUGAAAUCUACACGUGUACCUGAAUCCACACGUAUCAGUCAGCAUUUCUCUAAACCAAGCCAACCCAGAGAUAAAGAACUCAAAUGCAAGUUGGUUCUACCCAUCACAUGCUGUAGUACAGAGUAGCUACAUAUCAUAACCUACAUGCUGUGGUCCUCAGCAGAAGUAUCCACGGUGAUCACAUUUCUUGAUUUUCAAGUCAUUUCCUAUGUCUCUGCUUUAUGGCUUUUCAUGGCUCAUUUGGAGAGACUCGGGCUCCAGUGUGCUGUUAGCAACCCACUGUCUUGGGACUUACUUGAACUCUUGCUCUUUCUAGGGAUCAAAUACCUCACAGAGGCUCCGUGAGCCAGGCAUAAUAAAUGGAUACAGCACGAGUGAACAAAAGAGAAAGCCAGACCCCUGUUCUGUAUACUCUGGAGAACCCUGUAUACCCUGGAGCAAUGCAGAGUCUACACGUUCCUUAGUUUACUACUUCGAGGAUAUUUUGAAGAGUUUUUUUUUUUUUUUUUUUUACUUCAUAACCUCAAGGCCAAUGUUUCAGAAUUGAACUGCAACUGUGUUGUGCUGUAGCAAGAGAUUCAUGGAUAUUUCAGUUACUUCUUAGGCUGUUCAAUUUCCUGUUUCAUUGACCAUCCUUGUCUACCCAGGAACUGCAAGGUUUUUCUAGUAAUAGGAACUAAAACAGCAAGAAUACUUCCCCUUGAUCUUCGUUGAAGUCCCUCUGUCAGGAGACAUCACUGCCUUAGUCUGGCCGUCACCACAUAUGGCCUGGCCUAUAACAGUGGCUGUAUCUGGGUCUCCAAUCUCUCCUCCAAGCAGCUGCUCCAGGGAAAAUGAGAGCACAAGUCUGACCAUGUUCUUUUCCUGGCCACGUUGGUCCCUGCCCAGGCUUCUUGCUCAGUGAGACACACUCCUCCAGUUUGACAGUGAAGAUGUGUCACAGUUUUCAGAAUAAGCCAGGCAUCUAACAGCUAAUGGCUCUGUGGGGAGGCCCAAGAGAUAACCAGUGUUGACCAGAGAGCGGUAACUCAGAGGUUGUUGCAAAGUAUGUAUCCAUCCCCUCCCCAACCCCAUUCUUUCUCUUCCAUGUAAUUCCUUUGCCCCUUUGUCUCAACCUGUUCUCCCUCUACUUAGAUGGAUGAGUAUGUGGGGUUUAUGUCUCUUCCUGAGUUGCUCACUUGCUGCUGUACCCUGAGUUGAUUUCCUUAGCCCAUCUGGGUUACCUACACUGAAGACUUUCUGAUCUUGGAGGAGCAACCAGUCUACGGUUUCCAACAUGGCCCCUGGGGCUAGUCAUUUCUUCUUCAAUGGUGGUGGAUUGCCUGCACACUUCUUCAUAUUCCACUACUCUCAAAUACUCACUUGAAAGUGUUUGUUUUUUUGUCUUUUCCCCCCACACCCACCUCCUGAGACUUGCAUAUUGGUUCUCGGGAAAGUCUAUUCACAGUACCUCGGUGUCCUCGUCUCUCGGGCGGUCAUCGUAUGUAUUUGUGGCUGUGUUUUCCUACCUUCCUAUCCUAUGCAACAGAUGUUACAAGAUGGUAAGCAAGAGAUUCUUUAGAUGUACAUUUAAAAUUCCAUCUUCCACUUUUUCUAUCCUUUUGGAUUUUGAUGCUGUUUGUGUAGAGAAUAAGAAAGAAUUUAAAGAUAGUCAAAAUAAGACAUUUCUGUCUUACUUAGGAUUUCUAUUGCUGUGAUAAAGCACCAUGACCAAAAGUAACUUUGGGAGGAAAGGGUUUAUUUUAUCUUAUAUCUUGUAAUCUGUGAUACAAGGACAGGAAAUCAAGGCAGACACCUAGAUGCAGAACUGUUUACAGAAGCUGUGGCAGAGUGAUACUUGCUCCUCAUGGCUUGUUUUCAUAUACGCUCAAGGACCACCUGCCUUGGGGAAGCACCACCCAUCAAUUAUUAAUCAAGAAAAUACCCCACUGGCUUGCCAAUAGGUGAACCUGAUGGGAGAGUUUUUCUCAAUUGAGGUUCCCUCUUCUCAAAUGACUAGAUUGUGUCAAGUUGACAAAAGAACUGACCAGGAUAAUUUAUAAUAAUUUAAUAAACCAAGGGACAAUUGAAUUCUAAUCAUGGUCAAAUCAACCAUGACAUGAUUAUUAUAAGCCAUUUGGUAGAUUGCUACUUUUGCUUCUAAGGAAUCUCUUUCCUGUUGAAGCCAGGGAAUAAUUUAUUCAAAACAUGGAUUAAGGGUUUAUUACAUAUUUUCCACAGUAAAGAACAUAUUGCUUUACUAUCCGAGUUACAGAAAACUUGGCUCUCUCUGAAGAGUUUUUAAACACUUCAUUCCCCUCGUAAAGUAGAGAUAAAAUGUUAGCACAUCUGAGAUAAUUAUUGAAUGUGAGAUCAAGGACUGAAUAGCCCCAAGAUCACUCCCAGCUGAGAGUGACCCUCAUGUUAAACUGUCUUUUAAGACCAAGUAAGCUGACAUUUAUUAAACUCUUAUCAUAUUAAAUAUAUUACAAGUAUUAUUUUACUUAAUACUUAAGGAAAUUCCUGAAGUUGAGGUGUAUUUUCACAUUAUAAGCACGAAGAAGACAGUGACGCCCAGGGUGGUAGAAUCCAGGAAUGAGCAGCCAGAGUGAAAUGCAGAGAAUGGUUUUAAAUUCUGUUUGCUUCAUCUCUUGUCCACAGGACACUAGGCAGCAUGGGAUAUCCAUAUGAGGCAUCAACGCUGCAAAUGGAUGGUUGACAGAUAUGCCCCAACGUUGUUGGGGUUCACGACCCCCCCAAACCUGUACCACAUGGGAAGAUUGAUGCAAGAGACUAGAUUACCUUUCCCUCCAAAGGCAAAUUUACACAACCCGUAUAUGAUAGCUUCAGGUCUUAGCAACAGGAAAUACUAUUGGUUGCUGUGUCUUGGGAAGAGGGGAGCAGAGAAGGACAGGCCUUGGAUGACCCUUGAGAGAGUCUUUCUGGAACUUCUCAUCUUGAAAACGGCCCCGUAUCUCAGGGGAAAAUAAUUACUAUUUCCGCUCUGGAUCUAUCAACUUUCCUGAAUGCAAAGUUCAGCUUCUAAAUUAUCCUUGAAUUUAGGACUUUAUAGACUCUGGGAAGACAUCUCAGCAACAUUUAGUACAGGAAGCAGGGCUCAGACUAUAUUUUUGCUGCUGGACAGUCAAUGUUGAUUGUCUGGUUUCUAAGACAUUCAGCGAUCAUGGGCAAAGAAUUCUAUCACCUACAAGGGCAAAGUUAUUCUGAGAAAGCUAUGGAAAUCCAAGGCAGAACAAAACAACUUUUCCCCCUAAGGAGAUCUGAACUUAGGUUUUGAUGAAAAUAAGGCCUUUCCAGUGACAUCAUUGUUUGUCUCUUCAUGCUAUCUCUUUUGGAGAUAGUUCCGGGUUUAUCCCCAGCCAAAACUAACAGCUGGACCUCUUUUCAGAAUGUAAAAAGCCGUGCUUUUAUUUAGUCUUGAGAAAUCUCCCGUUAAGGGUGUUUCAUGGGGACUUUGUUGAGCAUCCGGCCUAGAGUAGGAAAACAAAUCCAGGAUGACUUUCUAGAUAAUCUGCCAUCAAAGGGUCGAAGUUCACAUCCCUGAGACAGGACAUUGGUCCAUUGGCUGUUUCGCUUAGAACUCCCUUAAGCGAGGCUCUGCAUUCAAUAACUGGUUAAUUGCUUUUCACCUUUCUUCCUGUCAAUAAGUAAAUGGUAGGCAGUGGAGCCCAUGCAGCCGAGCUCAUGCUCCUUGACACAAAGUUAUUAAAGUGAGCAACUUCUUCUGAGCACCUAAUAUGUGGAAGCCUCUAUUCUGGACGACACAGUAAAUGUCAGAUGUUUGAAAUGAUCUGCUUUUCCAGAUGAGUUUGAGGAGAUGCAAGCAUGUACAAACAUCUAAGCAACCUUCAGCAAACCUUUAACUGAAGGAUCCACUAGAAGGGCUGGGGUAGCUAUAUAAUUUAGUGGAGUGCUUUCCUCACAUGCACAAGGCCAUGUAUUGAUCCUCACCACUGCAUAAGCCAGGCAUGGUGACGGCUGUGAUCUCAACAUUUGGGAGAUGGACACAGGAGGGUCAGAAACUCAAAGUCUUCUUCAACUAAAGAGCUAUUUCUAGGAUAGCCUGGGCUAUAUGAGACUCUGUCUCAUUAAAACAGUAGUAACAAGAUCUCUGUAAAAGCAAAUUUAAAGAAAACCAUUGUAAGGAAGUCAGGAGGUAGAAUAUUAGAUGAAAGGAAUUUGAAUUGUAUGCAAAAUUAUUGGCAAUAAUUCCCUAUCUAGAUUUGAGGAUCCAAGAAUAAGCAUGAUUAAUUUAUACAUGUGAUUGGGACAAGGACCCCAUUUACUAUAGCCACUGUGUGUAAACUCAUUGUAUCCAAAACUCACGAUGAAAUUUUAUCCCAAUGUGAGGUGCUGAGAGCCUUACAUCAGUAACAACCAAGUGGGACUUUUAAGACAUGAUUAGAUUAUGAAGGUUUUGCUCUCAAGAAUGGAUUAUUUGUUCAGAAGUUUAUAGAUAUAUACAUGUAUAAAACAAAUGGGUUUACUUGAGUAUGAGUGUUAUAAAAUUGAAUUUUGCUCUAUUGCUUGUAUGUGUCCUUCUUAAACAGUGUCCUGUACCAUCAGUACCUACACAGUCCUGAGUAGAAAGGAAACCAUCACUGAUAAAGCUCCUAGACCCUAGUGUCCCAGUCUCUAGAACCAUGAGCUGAAUAAGACUUUGUCCUUUAUAAAUCACCUAGUCUGUGGCAUUGAGCUAUAAAAACAGAACAUAGACUAAGACACAUUCAUUGUCUAUGAGUGCUGCUGUCUGGAUGUUUCAGCUCUACUAUAAUAGACCCAGGACAGAUUCUACUGUACAUUGAGCCUCAUUGACAAAGAGAUCCUUCUUGCCCCCUUUCCUCCCAUCUUUCUGCUGCAUAGAAAUGAAUUAAAUAGGGAUUCUAAGGAGGCUGGCAUGUCCUUGGACCUGCUAAAAGACGGAUUUAUAAGGAGAUUGAGAGAUUGCUAUUGGUCUUAGAAAGAUACUGGCCACUAGUCCACUGUGACCCACCCCCCUGGAUCCCCUUUUUUUGUGGAGUCCUGUGCUCAAACUCUGUCUCCUUCUCUACCACUUGGGCCCUGUUAUGCUCAGUGUGGCUUCCCUGAGAUGUAAGAGGUCCAGCCAGUGGAUCCAGACAAAAUAAUGUCCUUGGCAGAGAUGCCAGUCGGAGUUUUGGAAAACAGAGGAAGUCUAGCAGAUAACUCACUUCCUCUGAAGGAACUGGGGGAAUUUUUAUUGACCACAGAGAAUUGUUGGCACCAGCAGGGGAUGGAAAUCAGACCUGGGUUUCCACUUGACUGUAUAUCCUGGCAGACUUGAUAGGGAACCACACCAGGCAGGGUGACUAAAGGGAGCAGCGGCCUGUGAGGUCCCCCUCUCUAUAGAGUUUCUAGAAAGCCAGCUGAGCCCUUGAGAAGAGAGUCGAGCCACACAUAUAGGGAACUAUGGACUCCACAUCAGAAAGGCCUGCUUUAGAUGAGGGAUGAACACAUGCUGACCAACAGUUCAACCAGCACCAUUUGUUGAAAAUGCUGGGGGUUUUUCCUACUGGAUGGUUUUAGCUCCUUUGUCAAAGAUCAAGUGAUCAUAGGUGUGUGGGUUCAUUUCUGGGUCUUCAAUUCUAUUCACUGGUCUACUUGUCUGUCUCUGUACCAAUACUAUACAGGUGUUUGUUUGUUUGUUUGUUUGUUUGUUUGUUUGUUUUAUCACUAUUGCUCUGUAAUACAUCUUGAGGUCAGGGAUAGUGAUUCCCCCAGAAGUUCUUUUUAUUGUUGAGAAUAGUUUUUGCUAUACUGGGUUUUUUGUUAUUCCAAAUGAAUUUGCAAAUGUUCAUUCCAACUCUAUGAAGAAUUGAGUUGGGAUUUUGAUGGUGAUUGCAUUGAAUCUGUAGAUUGCUUUUGGCAAGAUGGCCAUUUUUACAAUAUUAAUCUGCUAAUCCAUGAGCAUGUGAGGUCUAUCCAUCUUCUGAGAGAUCUUCAAUUUCUUCCUUCAGAGAUUUGAAGUUCUUGCCAUACAGAUCUUUUACUUGUUUGGUUAGAGUCACACCAAGAUAUUUUAUUUGGGACUAUUGUAAAGGGAGUCAUUUCCCUAAUUUCUUUCUCAGCCUGUUUAUCCUUUGAGUAGAGGAAGGCUACUGAUUUGUUUGAGCUAAUUUUAUUUCCAGCCACUUUGCUGAAGUUGUUUAUCAGCUGUAGGAUUUCCCUGGUGGAAUUUUGGGGGUUACUUAAGUAUACUAUCAUACUAUCAUCUGCAAAUAGUGACUCAGAAUAUUGGACACAGUACUACCUGAGGAUGCAACUAUGCCACUCCUGAGCAUAUACCCAAAAGAUUCUCCAACAUAUAACCAGGACACAUGCUCCACCAUGUUCAUAACAGUCUUAUUUAUAAUAGCCAGAACCUGGAAAGAACCCAGAUGCCCUUCAACAGAGGAAUACACAUUCUCUGUAUCCAUUUACACAAUGGAGUACUACUCAGCUAUUAAAAACAAUGACUUCAUGAAAUUCAUAGGCAAAUGGGUGGAACUUGAAAAUAUCAUCCUGAAUGAGGUAACCCAAUCACAAAAGAACACACAUGGUAUGCACUCACUGAUAAGUGGAUAUUAGCCCAAAAGCUUGGAAUACCCAAGAUGCAAUUCACCGACCACAUGAAGCUUAAGCAGAAGGAAGACCAAUGUGUGAAUGCUUCAGUCUUUCUUAGAAGGGGGAACAUAUUCAUAGGAGGAAACACGGAGACAAAAUAUGGAGCAGAGACAAAGGCAAAGGCCAUCCAGACUGUCCCUCCUGGGGAUCCAUCCCAUAUGCAGAUACCCAGACACUACUGUGGAUGCUAAGAAGUGCUUGCUGACAGUGAUAUAGCUGUCUCCUGAGUUGCUCUGCCAGAGUCUGACAAACACAGAGAGGGAUGCUCACAGCCAACCAUUGGACUGAGCAUAGGGUCCCCAAUGGAAGAGUAAGAGAAAGGACUGAAGGAGCUGAAGGGAUUUGCAGCCCCAUAGGAAGAACAAUAUCAACCAGAGCUCCCAGAGCUCCCAGGGACUAAACCACCAACCAAAGAGUACACAUGGAGGAACCCAUGGCUCUAGCUCCUUAUGUAGCAGAGGCUGGCCUUGUCAUCAAUGGGAAGAGAGGCCCUUGUUCCUGUGAAGGCUUGAUGCCCCAGGGUAGGAAAAUGCCAGAGUGGGGAGGCAGGAGUAGGUAGGUGGUUAGGGAGCACCCUCAUAGAAGCAGGGGGAGGGAGCAUGAGAUAAGGGGUUUCUAGAGUGGAAACCUGGAAAGGGGCUAAUAUUUGAAAUGUAAAAAAUAAAAUAUCUACUAAAAAUUAUGGGGCUGGGGAUUUAGCUCAGUGGUAGAGCACUUACCUAGGAAGCGCAAGGCCCUGGGUUCGGUCCCCAGCUCCGAUAAAAAGAACCAAAAAAAAAAAUUAAAAAUACAUUGUAUGAAAUUCUCAAAGAGCAAUAAAAAUAUUGCUUUUUGAAAAAGAAAAUACAGGUUAUAUUCAUCUAGACCCUAGGUAUAUUGGCAAUAUUCCUCCCAAAAUAGUAGUGUUUGAUACCAGAAUCAUACAGUUUGUUAGACAGGAAAAGAUUCCUGGUCUCCAUCAUAGACCAGGUGAGCCUGAGUAGUGGAGGAGCCUAAGAAUUUGCAUAGUUUACCAAAUGUGCCUUCGUGAGCCAUCUUGCCAUAAGUUGUAAUCAGAGGGACCAAAAAGCUUGUGCUUCACCUUGCAAGGGGUUGGCGACUUUAUAGAGGACUUCAAUAUAACUCAAGAUGUUCAAAACCAUACUGAGGUCCAGAAAAGGAGACACUUAGAUGGUUUAGAAACUCCAGUAGAAUCUCAUACAAGAUGCUGACCUUCCCAAGCAGGAUAGAAUUGGAUAAUUGGUAAAAAUGGAACCACGGUUUGUCUGGAGUUGUGGAUAAGACUUUGCAAAGGGAAUAGACUCCAGGAACCAGUUAUACAUGGGACGGAGUGGUUGUCCUCUGAUUUUACCCCUGUCCCAGUUGAAUCCAGUCCUCUGAUCCUAUUUGAACUGAAGGUUGAAUACUUUGUGACAUUGGGACUUUGGCCAAGUUACUUAGUACCUCUUCGGAGCCCAAUAGUGAGUAGAGUAAUAAUAACUCACCCACCAUGGGUACUGCAAUCACUGAGAGAUGUGCUGCCUGACUUCUGAGCACCUAGAACCUUCCUAGUGAUCCUCUGGAGACGACCACCUUCACCAUGAAAAACGCCCUUUCGAUUGGAAUAUGCAUUUAACUGCACAGGGUAGGACAGCAUUUUCCGAGGCCCUACCUGUGCAAAGGCUCAGAGCGAAGGAGACCCUGAGCUGUCACAGAGCUUAACAACCUGUGAGAAGAGACUCAUUUAUGCAUAGUUCACCCAUCCAAAGCACUAUGUGGAGGUAAGGGACAGUGCACAAUCCAAAAUGGCCACUCUGUGCGGUCAAGGGAAAAGUUUCUCCCAAACUGCCAGGGAUGCCUUUCCAGACAGCAGAGAGGAGAGGGGGACAAAUCUGCAGGGCUCUAAGGGAAUAGGAACUUGGGAGGCAGUGAGCGGAAAUCAAGCCUUGAAGUUUAUAACAAAUACUUGGAGUAGAGAUUGAGAGAGCUAGAGGCUAUCUAGAACCCUAAUAUAUAUCUGCAUAUAUAUGUAGAUAGGCACUACAAACAUGUGUUAGUAGAGAACCUAUAUCCCUCUUGCUAGAGAUAAGGAGAAUUAUUACUUUUGACAAGUGAGAACCGGUUUUACAAUUCCUAGGGAAUACUGGCUUUUGUCUAACUGCUAGAAUUCAGGAAAAGGGAAUUUCCUCUGGACUUGACAUGGUCAGUGAGGCAGGUAUCUGUCUAGCAGUGCACGCAAUCAUACAACCCUUUCUGUUUUGCAUUCACAGUUGGAAUCCCAUCUGAAUCUGAUAACAGCCCACUGCAAAGGGGGCUGUACUUAGUCAACAGGUUCUCCCUGUAGCUGUCUGUAGAGUAUUCUUUGGAGCUCCUUGGCUGCCAGUGAGGGUAAGAAGUGGAAGGAUUUAAGAGCAUCUAUUCCAGCUUGUACACAUCUUCUCCAGUUAGAAUUAAGCAGGUAUUUAGCAGUUUGUGCCAGAUGGUCGGUCCCUUACAGAGAUGGCAGAUUUUCCGAGUCCAGCCAGAACCUGCAGUCUUCUUUCCCUUUCAAAAUGGAGUCUCCUGAGUUAAUACACAGCCCGAGAAACUAGAUUUAUAGACUAUGGAGUCAUAGAGUACAGCAUACAUAGCCUGCUCUCAACAGAGUCUCCCACUAAACCCGAUGCUCACUGGUUGGACAGUCUGUCUGGUUGGUGUCCUUUGGGUAACAUUCCUCCAUGACACCCCUUGGCCCCAGACCUAGGGUUACAGAUGUGUGCCACCACACCCAGCUUCAUCGCUUAUGUGCAUUUGGGAUAUAAACUUAGGGGCCCAAUCUGGAGAGGCAGGUGCUUUCUCUAAUCAUCUCCUCUGAUACUGAAAUUUGCAAUUUUAAAGCAGCCCCAAACUGAUCUUAUAAUAAUUCAUUUCUGAUCUUUGAGUUCAGAGCACCCUUUCCCUCUUUACUAGUAGACAUAAACACAACUUGUGUUUCCUAAAUUCUCGAAAGGUAUUUGUGUUGACCUGGGGUGGGCAUUUGGUACAGAAUAUCACCACCACAGUGCCUAUGGCAGGCGUAAUUCUUCAUUAUUGUUGAUCACAAUAUAGUGUUAUCCCAAGUACAAGAAGGACUUUUGCAUCCCUUAUCUCAGAAAUCUUAGUCCUGGAAUGUGAAGUAGAUUCAAGUCUGGGCAAUCCAGAGAGUGGCUCCUUGAUUUGAAUGAGACAGAGCCUGCAGGGUUGAGUCUAAGGUCUCGACCUUUGGGUCUAAGGUCAGCAGUUACUGUUUCCUUUUGGCUAUGUCAGGUCCAAAUAAACCUGGAACAAGUCUCACUCAGUACCUGUGGCUCCUCCCACAUUUCUCACCCCGCCCUCUACCCUAAACCACUCCCUCCCAGGGGUGGAGUUCAGCUUCUCUUCCCCCAGCUUCUCUUUCCUAUAUAAACUCCACCAUUUUGGCUACUUGCCUUCUUGGUUCCCAUUCGUUCUCAUGGCCUCUUGGCUCCUGGUUCCCUCUUGCCCUGUCUCCUCUCUUUCCCUAUCAUGCCUCCCCAUCCCCAUGGCCUGGUUCAGUCUACUGGCCUGCCUCAGUCUGGACUGUUCCAGAUGUCUCUGACUGUUCUCUUCCUCGUAUCGACAAUAAACCUCCUCAACCAUACUUCAUUAUUUUUUCCCCAUCCAGACUGUGCCCCUGACCCUAGGGGUCUCCAAUUUUAGGCUAUCCACCAUUCCCUGCCUGCCCUGUAAGACCCCCUGGUCCUCUCUGGAGUUCAUCAUGGGCAAAAUGUUGGUUUAGACUUCAUCUUGAAAACGCCAGCUUUGUGGUAAAAAGUGGAAAUAAAAGAAAAUGUAUCCAGUCAAAAACACUAGAAAAUAAACCACCUUUCUGUGGCACCUACUAGGCUCUCUGCCAAGUUUCGGUCUCUGUCUGAGUCUUCUGCCCUGGGUCUAGCACAUUUCCUGUGAUUCUCUUUCUUUGCUAUUUGUCUUGUUUAUUAAGGUGACCUUGUCACACUGGUCUGGGUAGGCCAGUCAACUGCCAACUCUUUUAGAAAUUGAAAAUAACUUCAACAAUGGAUGAAGUGGGAUGCAGAGUAAAUGCUAUGGUGCUCAGCCCAGACCUCCUUGGUUGGAAAGACACUCAUAUCCCCAGUAUUGGAAAUUACGGGAGAUGAAGUGCUGGUCUGGGUCUCCCUAGGAAUAGCCCUUGGCUAAUGACCUCUCCUUUUCUCAAAGACAUGCCCUGCCUCCGGACAGCCAAUGAUUGUUGUAAGUGCAAAGUGGUGGGUGGGAAACUUAAAUCAUGACCUGUUUGGAAUCCAUUGUAGUCUCUGCUGCUACAGCUCAUUCCCUAGAUUGACCCGGAUUUCCUCACCUCCUUACUGGUAUUUCCUAGUGAGCCUCCUGUGUGCCAGCUUUUGAGACUGUCUCCCAGGCUCUAUCUGGUCAAUGGCAGGGAUGGCCCACUCAAGGGUUUAUGAACUCUGCACAUACACUUGGCUGUCCACUAGAAAUUCUCAACAAUGUUUGAACACUGGCUCCCACAUUCUCAUCUUACUCUGGGCCCUCCAAUGAUGGCCCUAGUCCUAGUGACAGCACUCGGGAUAAAACUCACCUGGAACAUCUCAGGCAGGAAAGAGUUGCUAUCCCUUGCAUCCCGCAGGAAUGAGCACGCUGAUUCAACAGCCGUCUAUCAGUCAGAGGAAGGCCCAGAACUUUCUAUCCACCCCUGACUGACUGAGCCAGAUGCUGGCUCUGCAGCAGGGGCUUAGCUGGGUGGCUCAGUCCUCCCGACUUCCUGACUUCUGGCCUAAGGAACACCCAGCCACAGCCCUGCUUAGUUUAAGAAGUUUUCCAGGGUGGCUCAUUCGGGAGCACACGGUCCUCCCACCUCCCUUCCCCCAGCAGUCACACUCAGAGGCCACACUGAACCGGAUACCAGCUUUCACUUGUUAACAUUCAAAAUGAAACAAUGCUUGCCUGCCAGAUAAUUAGGCACAUGACAUUUUGAUGCGGUCUUCUUGGUACAGCCACUUUAACAAUAGAACAUUUUGUCAUGGAAAGUUAAGUUUGGCAAUAAAACUUUCAGUGUGUGGGGGUGGUGGUGUCUUGAUAAAACACAAAACUAAAGAUUCAUCACAUUUUUCCCUAAGCAUUUGACAAAGCAAUGAGGAAACACGUGCAUGGUUUACACUAAACCACGCUCAAUCAAUACCGUCCCCAUCCUCCGAUCUGUUUUUGUUCUCAACCUCAAUUCUUUCUCAGUAAGGUAUGUUUUUUAUUAAAUAUUGAGCAUUUCAAUGAUGCAUACAGUGAAUGUAUUUUAAUAUUUACCUUUGUUUCUCCACAUAACUCCUCCCAGAUCCAGUCCCCAAGACCCCUUCAAACUUUAUGACCCCUUCCCCCCCAUAACUCACUGACUUUUGUUGCCUAUCUACUCAUAGGCAACUUCCCUUUCUGCAGCAGUUACACUCAGAGUCUACCCUGAACUGGAUGAGAUGUGUGGAUGUGCAGUCCCUGAGUAAAGCGUGGUUGGCCUACCAGGAGCCACACUCUUAAAAAAAAAAAAAAACCAAUUCAAUUCUCCCUACCUUAGUAGCUGUCAACUGUUCAUGGUUCCUUAGCUGGGGGUGGGGGCUAGAGAGUCCCUGCCCUCUCCCAUGUCCAACGACAGUUCUGACUUGUAGGCUUAUAUCAUGUGUCAAUAAGCUGUCGGUUACGUGACGAAAUACUUGAUAAAGUCAAACUAUAGAGAGGAAAAUUUUAUCUUGGUUCAUGGUUUCAGAGGUUUCCAGUCAUCAUCCAUUGGCCCCACUGCUUUUGGAUUUGUGCUGAGGCAGCAUAGCAUAAGGAACACACGGUAGAAGAAAGGAUUCCCCUAAUGGCCAUGGGAAACCAAGAGAGAAGAGGUGGCUAGGGUCUUAAUGUCUCUUGCAAGAGCAUGUAUACAAUGAUUUAACUCCCUCUUAAUAAGAAACACCUCCUACAAGUUCUCCCACCUCCUGGCAGUACCAAGGGAUGGGAAGAAGCCUUCGAGAUGUGGCCUUUGGAGGAGAUUUAAGACCCAGAUGACGCUGCAUCCAAAAUUGCAUUAAAAAAAUAACCUGCUGCUUGCUUAUAACUAAGGGAAAUAAAUGUAAAUAGACAGUGGUGUGUAUUUUCAAUUGGUAGAAAUAAUCGCAAACAUAAACACCCUACAACUAUUAACUCAGCCUUCACAGAGGCACAGAGAGGCUAAGUGAACGUGACUUUAUUACACAAAUACACGGGCUCCAAAUCAAUCAGUCCCUGUUCCUUUUUAACCACUACACCAUCUGUCCUUGUGUCCUGACUGAAUACACUAUGGGUACAUUACAAAUUAUCUUAAGCCUACAGUUGAAGAUAGACUAAUGAAAAGAAAUAGCCAACUAUACUCAUUGAUCAAAGGUCCUCACCAACAUAUUCAACUGUAAUCCAGUGUGGAAGAGUGGAUGUGUGGCAUUCAGAAAUAAGUAUUUAUUCUACCUGGAAAAUAAUCUGAGCAGAACAUCUAAGAGAAAGAACCAUCAUAGAAGUACUUGCCUAUCUGAGAACUGAGGCGAGAAUUCUGAGAAUUUUGAACCUGAAAAAAAGAACAUAAAACAGAACCAUUGGCACAUUUCAAAGUUCAGUUUCUCAUGGGUUUCUUAUGGUUAAUCACAAAUAAGAUAUCAUCUAUAAAUCUCUUCUACAAUUGAAUAAGUGUUCGCGUCAGAAUUCACUUCCACCAAAUGUCCCUUGAGUUGGAAGAGUGGGUUUUCAGAUAUUUCACUAGUGCUGGAUUUCUUGAAGGAAACUUUCUAAUAAUAUAGACCUCUCCAGAUAAUAUCAACAUUAGGGUUGAGAGGAGGGUGGGUAGACUAGCUUCAGUGACAGGUGGUAAGACAGGGAGAGAUGGAAAAUUAAUAAAACAACGUGAUCUCUAACAGACUUCAAUACAAAUAACAGUUAAAGAGGAAAUGUGUUAACUUUAAUAAUCUAAAAAUGGCCUGUGAUUUUGCCCUUUCUAAAGGGUCACAAGCUGGUCAAACUCAGUUCUUAGGAGAAGAUGGAGACCCCUGUGUUCAAGACAGUGAUGUUGUCCCCUAUCACAGCAUAGCAUGUAGCCCAAGCUUCAUAUUCCCACCUAUCUCCAUUGCUCCUCAAGUCUCACAGGUGUGGUGACUUUCCCAGUAGAUGCUGUGCAUAGAGCUGUGUUUGCCACACAGCUGAGAGAUACCAAGGUUCAGAAACUCAAAUAUUUUUAAUAAGCAGCUGGCAGACUUGCCUACCUUUGUCCUAGGGGGAAGCAUUAUCUUAUUAGCAUUAUCUUAUUAUCUCUGUUAGGGAGAGCCUUGGCUUCCAAGGCUAUUUGCUCUACAAACAUCUUUGCAAUGAUGUGCUAGGUCAGAGUCCUCCAGUGCACAUGUCUACAGGAUAUGCAGAAAAAAACUUGAAAGGAUCAUGAAAAACUCUUUCCAAGCCAAGAACCUCAGAGCUUUCCUUAGUGAGCCAAAAAUACUUAACAUAUCGUAGGUCCAGAAUAAAUACUGGAUAAUUCUCUACCCUGUGAUGCUCCCAUAAUGGAAACAGCGGAGGAGAGAAAGAAAUGCCACUGGGGUCCCUUUUACCAAAUCUGGCAUGGUGAUUCUGUUGUGAGGGGAUAGAGGCAGGUCCUUAGAAAUGAUCUGCCCAAAUGAAGAGCAUUUUGGUUCCUUCCAUAGAGAGACUUCAAGUGCUGGCAGUGAAGGCAUCAAAGACUGCCUCCAGAGGCCAUUCUGUUAAAAUGUCUAGAAAGGGUAAUGCGAGAACUGUGGACUUUGUAAGAGUCACUGGGAGCAAAGAGAAUGUAGAGUGUGGUUCUUUUGGGGAGGGACCUACUGCUUGUCCUUAGGGACUGGUUCUGUCUCCCUAGGGCCUUCCCCAGGGUCCAUGCCCUAAGAGUACAUGUUGACGAUAGUGAGGAAGAAGGAAAGAAACAGAGGCAGCCUCAGAUGCUUCUGGGGUGACAGCAGGGAUGGGAAGCCAGAAUGGCACCGAUGUAAAAUGAGUCAGCUAGGAGGUGAGGAAAGCUGUUUCAUUGUCUUCCUGUUCGCUUCCUUUCCAUUGUAGAUGAUGGGUGAGCUGAUGCUCAGUUAAUAGGCUGGUUAUAUAUGCAUGAAUUUCUUGCUGAUCAUCAAGCCUCCUGCCCCAGAACCAGCUAUUUGUCCCAUUAAGCCUGUUCUUGGAACCCCUGUAGAGAGUCUCCAUAGAAUUCAAUGUGAGAUGUGCUUUCUACACGAUUCUGAAGAAAUUCCCAAGAUCCUCACUUAAUUUUAUUAAAAUAAAAUGGUCUGGGGGCUGGAGAGAUGGCUCAGCUAUUAAAAGCACUGGCUGCUCUUCCAGAGGUCCUGAGUUCAAUUCCAAGCAACCACAUGGCAGCUCACAACCAUCUGUAAUGGGAUCUGAUGCCCUCUUUUGGCAUGCAGGUGUACAUGCAGAUAGAACACUCACAUACAUGAAAUAAAAAUAAAAAUGAAUCUGUCAUUAAAAAAAAACAAA